UACGGAGGGGGCUAGCGUUGUUCGGAAUUACUGGGCGUAAAGCGCACGUAGGCGGCUUUGUAAGUUAGAGGUGAAAGCCCGGAGCUCAACUCCGGAAUUGCCUUUAAGACUGCAUCGCUCGAAUCAUGGAGAGGUGAGUGGAAUUCCGAGUGUAGAGGUGAAAUUCGUAGAUAUUCGGAAGAACACCAGUGGCGAAGGCGGCUAUCUGGACGGUUUCUGACACUAAGACUCGAAAGCGUGGGGAGCAAACAGG
rnacentral:rRNA from 1 species